GGCGAUAUAGUGUAGUGGUUAUCACUCGGGAUUUUGACAUGCAAAUCCUCCCGGAACCCAGGUUCGAACCCUGGUAUCGCCU